rnacentral:rRNA from 1 species
GGUGUUGGCCAUACCACCUGAAACAUGUCAAUUUCAUCUGAUCUUAGAAGCUAAGCAGGAUUGGGCCUGGCCAGUACUUGAAUGGGAAACCAAAUGGAAUACUGGGUGCUGUAGUUU